UUCAAUGCAGGUGUAGAGUGGGCAGCAUUCCAAGGUGGGUGAUUGAAAGAUUCAGGUCCUUUACAUUUUAUAGCUCCACUAUCACUCAGAGCCUUGGGAUCUACUCAGAGGGCGGACAAGGCACACCUGCUCCUUAAUCACUUCAGCCUUUUCUGAUACCCUUUGUAGAGCUGCUUAAACGGCCCCACCUGGGUGCAGAUACCCUUUGUAGAGCUGCUUAAACGGCCCCACCUGGGUGCAGAUACCCUUUGUAGAGCUGCUUAAACGGCCCCACCUGGGUGCAAGGCUGGGCUCCAGUGCUGGGAAAUGUAAAUUCUGCCUGGAAACCCACUUUCCAGCAACAGCGCUACCCUUUGGAAAGGGAUUGUGCCUGUCUCUGGACCAAUCAACAGUGCCAGGAGGAAGAGAUUAUAGGAAACGUCCUCUGAUUCUCAGGUAUGAGAAUAAAGGGAAAGGUGUCAGCCAGACAAUCCCUUAGAUUUUCAGUACAUAGCAAUUAAAACUCAUGGGGUUAGAUUUAUUUUGCUUCAAUUUAAGUUGAUGAAGAAACAAUAUUCUGAUUCUCAGCUGGAAAAAAGGAAAAUUUCAUAGUCACUGGACUCUUCCCAACUCCUAACCUUUCUAACCCUUCUCUUCAAGGGCUGCUCUUCUAUCCACAUGUUGUCACAGCAAUGACUCACCCACGUCUGCCCUUCUGGGACAGCACGUAAAGUUCCACACCAAUUCUCCCUUUUCAAAAGUUGAACUUUGUAGCAUGUAGGUGAAGAGAGACCCACAGCCAGGGCCAGAAGAGCAAAAUCCAGCCAUUUCACUUUCUAAGCUUGAAACAAUCAUUUAAUUUGCAUUUAAGUACCUGGAAAUGUUUCUAACUGUAAGCUGUAUUAAGGACCCUAAAAAGCAACUUGUUGGGACAAGGCUAAAGCAAAUAAGAGAUAAACGUACAGAUAAGAAUUUUAGACACCAGAGAAAGGUAAACAGGUUAUAUUUGGAUAAAGAACCUCUGGUAGCAAUAAAGUUGGGCAUUGGAGCAUGACAGCUGUAGGCUGUCACCACCAGGCAAGAAAAUAGUUAUCUGAUGCUUUCUGCAACUUGAGUUGUCCUUAGUUAAACAUAAUCACCUAAAAGUAAGCAAAUUAAAGACAGAUUUUUCUCCUAGCUUUUUUCUUCAUGGAUUUAAAAGAAAACCACUGUAAUGAAGAAGUCAAUAUCAUAAGGACAUCAAAUUAAAAUUAGGUGGUGAAAAAAGUUAGCUAAA
rnacentral:lncRNA from 10 species